rnacentral:rRNA from 1 species
AUAGCGUAUAUUAAAGUUGUUGCAGUUAAAAAGCUCGUAGUUGAACUUCAGCCUCUUGGCCGGGCGGUCUGCCUCACGGUAUGUACUGUCUGGCUGGGGCUUACCUCUUGGUGAGCCGGCAUGCCCUUCACUGGGUGUGUCGGGGAACCAGGACUUUUACCUUGAGAAAAUUAGAGUGUUCAAAGCAGGCUUAUGCUCGAAUACAUUAGCAUGGAAUAAUAAAAUAGGACGUGCGGUUCUAUUUUGUUGGUUUAUAGAGUCGCCGUAAUGAUUAAUAGGGAUAGUUGGGGGCAUUAGUAUUCAGUUGCUAGAGGUGAAAUUCUUGGAUUUACUGAAGACUAACUACUG